rnacentral:lncRNA from 1 species
AAUUUUCGAAUAAUAGCAUGUAUUAAUCUCGGUCCAGAAAUCAACCCGAGUACAUACUGUGAUAAAUUAAUACACAAUUCCACGACUUAAAAAUAAAUAAAAACAAUUGUCUAUCGAAAUACAGCGGAAAAGAAAAACAAGACUAGAAUCAUCUAAUCUUGUGUUUGGCGAUGACGGCUCCACACCACAGGCAUUCUUGACGGCGGACUGAACCUCACAUUAACCUUCGGAACUACCUCCUUUUGACAAAAGCUCUAGAUCUUGCUCU